GACGAACGCUGGCGGCGUGCUUAACACAUGCAAGUCGAGCGGUAAGGCCCUUUCGGGGGUACACGAGCGGCGAACGGGUGAGUAACACGUGGGUGACCUGCCUUUAGCUCUGGGAUAAGCCCGGGAAACCGGGUCUAAUACCGGAUAUGACUCCGCGGCGCAUGUUGUGGGGUGGAAAGCCUUGUGCGGCUGAGGAUGGGCCCGCGGCCUAUCAGCUUGUUGGUGGGGUGAUGGCCUACCAAGGCGACGACGGGUAGCCGGCCUGAGAGGCGACCGGCCACACUGGGACUGAGAUACGGCCCAGACUCCUACGGGAGGCAGCAGUGGGGAAUCUUGCGCAAUGGGCGAAAGCCUGACGCAGCGACGCCGCGUGAGGGAUGAC
rnacentral:rRNA from 1 species